rnacentral:rRNA from 1 species
UGGCGACCGGCGCACGGGUGAGUAACACGUAUCCAACCUGCCGAUGACUCGGGGAUAGCCUUUCGAAAGAAAGAUUAAUACCCGAUGGCAUAGUUCUUCCGCAUGGUAGAACUAUUAAAGAAUUUCGGUCAUCGAUGGGGAUGCGCUCCAUUAGGUUGUUGGCGGGGUAACGGCCCACCAAGCCUUCGAUGGAUAGGGGUUCUGAGAGGAAGGUCCCCCACAUUGGAACUGAGACACGGUCCAAACUCCUACGGGAGGCAGCAUG